rnacentral:misc_RNA from 1 species
CUCCAAAAUCAGCCCCAGCUUGUCCAAUUCUGUUUCCAAUAUCGAAAAUUGCAGAAACCCCAUUUAUCCCAGUAUUAUCAGCUAAUACUCCAAAAUCCCUUCCAUUAAAACUGUGGCCUGGGAACUCCAAAUCAAAAAGCUUCGAUUUCUGAGGGUUGGGCCAGUGAAAAGCUGGCGGGUUGGUCAUAUGGGAUUGAAUAAGGCCCGUAAA